rnacentral:rRNA from 1 species
AACGAACGCUGGCGGCAGGCCUAACACAUGCAAGUCGAACGCUCCAGCAAUGGAGAGCGGCGGACGGGUGAGUAACACGUGGGAACCUUCCCUAUGGUUCGGAAUAGCCCAGGGAAACUUGGGGUAAUACCGGAUAAGCCCUUCGGGGGAAAGAUUUAUCGCCAUUGGAUGGGCCCGCGUCGGAUUAGCUAGUUGGUGGGGUAACGGCCUACCAAGGCGACGAUCCGUAGCUGGUCUGAGAGGAUGAUCAGCCACACUGGGACUGAGACACGGCCCAGACUCCUACGGGAGGCAGCAGUGGGGAAUAUUGGACAAUGGGCGCAAGCCUGAUCCAGCCAUGCCGCGUGAGUGACGAAGGUCUUCGGAUUGUAAAGCUCUUUUGGCGGGGACGAUAAUGACGGUACCCGCAGAAUAAGCCCCGGCUAACUUCGUGCCAGCAGCCGCCGUAAUAC